CAACUACUCCCUCCGUCCUAAAUUUCUUGUCUUAGAUUUGUCUAGAUACAGAUGUAUCUAAUACUAAAAUGUGACUUGAUACAUCCGUAUCUAGACAAAUCUAAGACAAGAAUUUUGGGACGGAGGGAGUACUUU
rnacentral:pre_miRNA from 1 species